GAUGAACGCUGGCGGCGUGCCUAAUACAUGCAAGUCGAGCGAACAGACGAGGAGCUUGCUCCUCUGACGUUAGCGGCGGACGGGUGAGUAACACGUGGAUAACCUACCUAUAAGACUGGGAUAACUUCGGGAAACCGGAGCUAAUACCGGAUAAUAUAUUGAACCGCAUGGUUCAAUAGUGAAAGACGGUUUUGCUGUCACUUAUAGAUGGAUCCGCGCCGCAUUAGCUAGUUGGUAAGGUAACGGCUUACCAAGGCGACGAUGCGUAGCCGACCUGAGAGGGUGAUCGGCCACACUGGAACUGAGACACGGUCCAGACUCCUACGGGAGGCAGCAGUAGGGAACCUUCCGCAAUGGGCGAAAGCCUGACGGAGCAACGCCGCGUGAGUGAUGAAGGUCUUCGGAUCGUAAAACUCUGUUAUUAGGGAAGAACAAAUGUGUAAGUAACUAUGCACGUCUUGACGGUACCUAAUCAGAAAGCCACGUCUAACUACGUG
rnacentral:rRNA from 1 species